GCGAGCGGCCCGGCCCCAGCGCCGCAGGUCGUAGGCAAGGCGGGUCCGGGGACCCCAGGUCGAGCUCAGCGGCAGUGCAGGAUCGCGAGCGGCCCGGCACCGGCGCUGCAGAUCACAUUAGAUGAAUCUGUACCUUGGGACCACCACACCGUUAGUAUGUAAGACUGGAUUACAAUUAAAGGAUGAGGAAUCUUUCUCAAAGGGUGCUUUGUAUGUGUUUACUAGUUGUGCAAACUACGAACCUGGGUAAUGUGGUUAAUAGAUCAUGAAAAGGAUGUGGUUUCUGCCCUCGGCUUAAAACAAAGACUAAAAUAAAUUUUAAAAAUAAGACUAAAAGUACUUCAGGGCACAUGAGAGCAAAUUUCAAUCAGUACUUAUAGGAGAGGGAAAUUAAUUUUGCCUGAAGAGAAGAUCUGGCCUGGAUUAUGCAUUAAUUAGUAUUAGCUAAAAACUAUGUGGACCCAACCCUUAUCAUUAAAAUAAAACACUCAAGGGUUUACAAACUA